AAAAGUACAAAAAUUGGCGGCUAAGAUGAAAAAACAGCCAAUUUUCUCCCUUUCACUCUCUUUCACCUUCUUCCUUCCCGCUUUCUAACAUCUUUGGCUAUUCACUGCUUUCUCCUCAGUCCGAUCGCCAUCCGCGAUUCGAUCUCUCUCCGAGCGUUCUCUCGCACCAUACAUUCGCAACCAAGAUCGAUCUUCCUCUGUUCCGAUUUCCAUCUGCACAGCCACUUGUAUCACAUUUUCGGCGUCAAGUUCGAUCUCCCGUGUUGCGCUUCAAUUUCCAUCUACGCUUUCACUCGGAUCAUACAAUGUAGUCAAGCAUACGAAAUUCACGAGAUAUAAUCUUCAAACGGGAUAGGAUUACAUGGCACAUCAAAGUUUCUAGAAGAUGCAACUGUAGGGACUCUGGUAGAGGUUGAAGAGGUACCCAUCCCAGUCGUACAGCUAUACGACCAACAUUUGUAUCAACCUGUUACAGGUAUGCAGCUGCCACUGAGACGAUCCUUCGUAGAGCUAGACUCCAAUUCAAUUUGAUAGCUGGAGCCAGAAUCGAACAGGUCACUCGCAUUUCCACCCAAUGCAGCAUCAGCACCCACAAUAGAAGCCGCAUCUGC